UUUUUCUAAAGCUAAGUAAUGGGCUAAUGGUCCAACCUUGUAUUUUCUUUCCUAAGCUGUGAGCAACUAAGUCUACUAUUUGUCUAGUUUAUCAAUACAAAAUAUGCACUUUUAUAUCUUUUAUCUCGUUAACUUAUGUUACCUAAAUCUUGGUGUUUUUCUCCGUUGGAUUUUUUCCUUCCUUUAAGGGGUGACAUUGGCCUCGGAUUCUCGUAUCCUCUUGAUUAUAUAGCCAACAAUUAUAAGUUAAUUGUUUGUUUAUAUAUAUCAUAAGCGAUUAUUACGUUUUGGGGAAGAGUAUAUUUUCUUUAAUAAAGAUCUCUUAUUAUUUGGAAGCCUCUAAAUCUUCAAAAUCUCAUUUUAUUUUUCUUUUACUCUUCAUAUAUUAAGUGGUUAUCUCUAUUUUUUUUUCUCAAGAUGUUUAUAGGGUGUACGGAUGGGCAACAAUGUUGAGGCUUAAUCGAUGGGUUAAAUAAGUUUGAAGGUGUGUUAAAUAUAUGGUUAAUUUGACAUAAUUUGAAUUGUAUUACACCAAAAACUAAAACAAUUAAACGAUUCAUGAAUUGAAUCACGUAUUUAAAAUAAAUCAGUUAUCUAUUUAAAAAUUAUUUUUCAAAAUUUGCUUUUCCCGAAAAAAUAUGAAAAGUAUUGAAACUUUUUUUUUUUUGAAAAUUUUUUAAAUAAUUUUUUUCCUUAUAUAUUUUCCACAAAUAAUCCAAACUUUUUUCUUGAAAAUUAUUUUUUAUCAAAAGAUAUUUGAAAUUUUUUACAUUUAUUUUUUGCUGAAAAAAAGAAUCAAAAACUUCUUUCUCGAGAAAAAUCGAAAUAUUUUUGUCAAAAGAAUUUCAAGGAAAAUGUCUAGGUGGUUUUAAAGAAGAAAACGGUGGAGGGAGACAAUAAAUUUAUGAAGAAUUUAAUUGAAUGUAACAAUUGCCGCACAUUAAGGUAUUUUUCUUAUGAAUGUCCUAGCGGUGAGAAGAAAGGCUACUCAUGACACAUGGGAAGUACCAUUUGCAUUAGAAAACAAGUUUUGGUUUCUUAACUUAGUUGCAGCAACCACAAUAGUGAAAUAAUUAAAUGGCUAGUUUUAUGAAUUAGAUGGAAAAUUCUUAAUCUUAGUCAAAACGUGGAGACAAUUCUAUGAUGGCUAUCGAAAGACGAAAUAUCAAACUUCAAAUUGGUGGAACCACACAAGUUGUGAUCGACGUGUACUACAUAUCAGAGCUAAAGAACACUUUACUCAGUAUAUGAUAAUUACAAUAGAAUAAUUUGAUAGUUGUUUUCAAAAACAAUGUGUGCAAAGUAUAUCACGCUGAAAUACGAGUAAUAAUUCAAUCUCAAAUGCCAUCUAAUUUAUGUACAAAUUAAG
rnacentral:lncRNA from 1 species